rnacentral:rRNA from 1 species
CACGUAGGGCGCAAGCGUUGUCCGGAAUUAUUGGGCGUAAAGAGCUCGUAGGCGGUCUGUUGCGUCCGCUGUGAAAACUCGGGGCUUAACCCCGAGCCUGCAGUGGAUACGGGCAGACUAGAGGUAGGUAGGGGAGAAUGGAAUUCCCGGUGUAGCGGUGAAAUGCGUAGAUAUCAAGAGGAAUACCUGAGGUGAAGACGGGUUGCUAGGCCGACACUGACGCUGAAGCACGAAAGCCAGGGGAGCAAACGGG